CCACUCGCCCGAACACCGAAAGGGAGCUCGCUACACAACUUCUGCUCCUCCGGCGGUUCGCCGUUCGGACCAUUGCGUUCGCUUUGGGUCUUGGGGGGGAAGGAAGGGAGAGGAGGGGCCGCUAGCGGUUGCCAAGAGGGCUGGAGAGGGGCAGCGAAGGGCGGCUCGAGCCCAGGAGGGGGAGGCGAAGGCUCUACCUGUCAGCCUCCCCGGGUACAGUCUAGGUACCAGGAGAUGGGGCGCACGUUAGCCCUGGCGGAGGAGGACGACCACCUCCACGUCCACGCUCACCGCGGAAGGUCCGCAACUCCUCGAGACGCUACCUCCACCCCCGUUGUAGUCACGAGCUCUUUCUCCUGGUACUCACCGUUGAGGUCUCAAGCACAAGGUGUAGUGGAUUCUUCUGAGUGUUCUAAGCAGGUUUCUACCACGUGGGUGUCAACGCACACGUGAACAGGACGCGUAACCGCGCCUACACAUGGUGGAACCAACUAUCCCCUCACAAGCUGCUCACGGAUAGGCUCUAUCGACUUCGUAACGAAUUCCGUCUAAAGACGAGUCUCUACCAGAGCCUCGACGUCAAUUUUGAGUUCUUCCGGUAUCUAGAGUGACACUCGCCUUCGUUAGUGUUGGAUGUUGUCCAACAGGUGUUCCUCUAUACGUUCAAUCAACUAGGACCUUUCUUCGGUAGGAAACAGGGGUUCUUCCCCUUCGGUACAUAACAUUACCACUAUCCAGAGGUUCCGAGACCAUUGUGAUGUUCAACACGGUUCAAACCCAUGGUAGUGUUUGUAUUCCCUAUGUUUGGAAGUUACCAGAGGUGCCUAUGUUCUCCUUCAUCAAGUGAACUAGCCUGUUUUGUCUAACGUGCGCUCCGAUUCUAGGGAAAAAUACCUUCGUUAAACCUUGGUCUAGGACACUCUCAACGGCAAGUCCCGCACCUGUCUAAGUCUUUCCUCUUGAGUCUAGAAUAUUAUUAACUAUGUUCACCCUCGAGAUGUAGAUUUCUACGUGAAAAACUAUUUUAGGAAUUUUAACUCUUCCGGUGCUUCGGUCUAGACCAUCACGAGCAUCAACUACGACCUCGACCGUUCAGACGUACACUACAUCGACACAAGACGUUCUCUAUACCGAGAUAACCAAGACGAUAGCACUGGUCUUACCUGGCGGUAGGUUUACCUCCGCCAUGUGAAUCGCGUGAACGUCGUCGUUGUACAGGACAAUAUAAAAUACCUUGCCCUUUUGUUUAACUACGUAAACUUUGGAAACUGCACUUCCAGAAACACUUAUUAGAAAAUCUAAUGUUCUUAUCCUGAAAUGUUAGUUACAACUUCUAUACGUACCAUACGACCCGUUGGACGUUCAUAGACUCUGACUUUCUUCUUUGCGCUAACAUCUCUACCUUUUCUGUACGGACUUACGUAUAGUACGACAGAACCUCUUCGUGUCCUACGAACGAGUCGUCUAAAGAACAAGUCUUAGUCUUAUGUUAUUUUAAACGCUGUAGGAACCGCUCGUUCUUGAGUUCUUCUCGUCUUAGUUCAGACAGAGAAGUAAUCUUCUUUCCUUUCUCUAUUACUACUAGUUAGAUUCUUCGUACUUCUUGCUUUUCCUACUUUCUUGAUCAUUCGAGUUCCUAGAGUACAGUUUUCGGAACCUAAACACCUUGAAGAACCCACACUGUACGGGACUUGUCUCCUGGAUGUUCAGAUCCUACUUGUUAGAGUCAAGUAAGGAAGUUGUCCGAUUAUCGGACAGUAGGUUUAGCGAACUCUUCGAACGUUUCUAACAAUUCCUCGAACUUACAUUCUUUCACUUCGUUGAACUUCGUUACUUUCGCCUAUAAGAAUCUGCACGUUUCUAGAAAUAUUCUUCCUGGCUUCCGUCGUGGUUAAAACGGUCGGAUUUUCUAAACUAUUCGUGCCGACAACGUACCCUCCGUGUUGUCUCCCUACGGUAAGACAUACUUGUCCUUUUGGACCACCGAGCGAAUUUUUACCACCUUUUACUAUACGCCUACAAGCUGAAACUAAGGUGUCGACUCUCUCUUCUGUUCUCUCUAUGAGUGUACCCUUGCAGUUCGAGUAGGUCACUCUGAUGGUUCAGACUGGGGUUUCUGUCACUGAUGUACGGACUCUCAAGCCUCAGCCUACAUCUGUACUCUCUGAAACACCAGAGGCUCAGAAGACUAAGCCAGAGAAGUACUCCCUACACUACGAAACUACACCGCCGUCUCGAUCCACGUUAGUCCCAUCAGUGAACGAUGACGAGCGAGUCCGAUACUUGUUAGUACCUGGUCUGCGGAGAUCCAUACACUACGGAUAGCUCCUGUACUUUCACACCCGUUCCGAUACCAAAAGAUCAACGCGAUAGGUUCGAACGUUCGCACUACGUUUAUCUCGACGUGUACGUCACCGAUCCAACCCUAUAAGAACACUACAUUUAGGACGGAAGGACACCCUCCUACUACAAGGUCGACAUCGACGUUUGCAACACCACCCGCUCUACGGGUAAAACGGACGUCCGAUAUGUAUACGGGAAAGAGAUUCUAACUAACGUGACAGGUCGCCGUUAUAAAAGCAACUACUUAACGGGAUGGUUUAGAGGUAUGCCGGAACAAGCCAACAUCGUCUUAAUUAGGAGAUCACCUAAAUUAGGAGAUCUCCUAACCCACUAGGGGCGAACUGUGGUUUUGGUGAACCCCUGGUUUAGGAACGGUCAUACGUUAGGUGCGGUGAGAGUACGUAAGCCAAUCAGGGGUUCCCGUG
rnacentral:rRNA from 1 species